GACACCGAUCCUGCGCUCAAAGUCCCCCGAUGGCGAAAAGGCGACCCGAAUUCAACUUUAGGACCCCAAUCCCUCCUGGAAACGGGUGGUAAUGCCGAAUGUGCCCUUCGGGGGAAAGAUUUAUCGCCUUUAGAGCGGCCCGCGUCUGAUUAGCUAGUUGGUGAGGUAAUGGCUCACCAAGGCGACGAUCAGUAGCUGGUCUGAGAGGAUGACCAGCCACAUUGGGACUGAGACACGGCCCAAACUCCUACGGGAGGCAGCAGUGGGGAAUCUUGCGCAAUGGGCGAAAGCCUGACGCAGCCAUGCCGCGUGAAUGAUGAAGGUCUUAGGAUUGUAAAAUUCUUUCACCGGGGACGAUAAUGACGGUACCCGGAGAAGAAGCCCCGGCUAACUUCGUGCCAGCAGCCGCGGUAAUACGAAGGGGGCUAGCGUUGCUCGGAAUUACUGGGCGUAAAGGGCGCGUAGGCGGACAUUUAAGUCAGGGGUGAAAUCCCAGAGCUCAACUCUGGAACUGCCUUUGAUACUGGGUGUCUUGAGUGUGAGAGAGGUAUGUGGAACUCCGAGUGUAGAGGUGAAAUUCGUAGAUAUUCGGAAGAACACCAGUGGCGAAGGCGACAUACUGGCUCAUUACUGACGCUGAGGCGCGAAAAGCGUGGGGAGCAAACGGAU
rnacentral:rRNA from 1 species